rnacentral:rRNA from 1 species
GACAGAGGGUGCAAACGUUGCUCGGAAUCACUGGGCGUAAAGGGCGUGUAGGCGGGACGGUAAGUCGGGCGUGAAAUCCCUAGGCUCAACCUAGGAACUGCACUCGAAACUACCAUUCUUGAGUGUCGGAGAGGAAAGCGGAAUUCCUGGUGUAGAGGUGAAAUUCGUAGAUAUCAGGAGGAACACCAGUGGCGAAGGCGGCUUUCUGGACGAUAACUGACGCUGAGACGCGAAAGCAUGGGGAGCGAACAGG